GGUACACAGACUAGUAAAAUGGUCCACUGUUGACCAGAAAUUCUGGGGAUGAAUCCCAUCUACUGACAAUAGACUGAGGAUACUGUAUCAGAAAGUCACAUUGCACAUCACACAGUCAGCUGGAAUUUGUUCUUUCAUGAAAUGGAAGAGCAUGCCAGAGAUCUCUCUGGUGAAUAAGAGGCUGUGAGGGCAAUCUACCAUUUCUGGUAUGCAAGACUCGGACUCCAGUACCUUCAUUAUUGCAGGAUGCCAUUUUGCAUUUGGUGAUAAAGGAUCCUUGAUAACGUAGGAACUGAUGGGAUGAUGUCCCAUUUCCCAGUGGGACAGGUGCCAGUACAUGUUAGGGAAAGAGAGUGUGACUCUUUCAUGCUCCUAGAAACUGCUUAUCAGCCAUCUUUGCAAUCAAGCGGUAUAUAAAUAAAUAAGAAUAAAUAAAAGAAAGGCCAAAGUACUGAACAUCUUCAAACUAUUUUAACAAAUUUGUUGGCAUGUACAGGUAAUGAAUUUUGGAAUAUUUGAAAAUUGGAUUUAAAAACAAAAACAAAAAAACCUUGUAUUUAUUUUUCUGUAUUUGGAAGUUUCACUGUUUCUCAUAAUUAAAACUACAGUGACUGCCAAAAGACAGAUGUUGCAAAUCUGUUAUAUUGUUAAAAAAUUAACAUAAGCUUCCAUUCAAACAACCGCAAGGUCUAAGGGGAUUUCGUAAAUUUAAAAAUUGCAUUACUGUCUCAGAUCCUAGGGAAAAAUAAAAAAUACCGUACUGGCUCAUGAUGGGAAUACAGUUUCUUAAAAUUAGUAUUUUGUGUUCUGUUAACUUUUUAAAAGGGCUUAAAAGUUCUGCAAUUGCAGCUGCCAUUACCAUUUUCAUUUUAAUUAGUUGCUAUACUUCAGUUGAAUCUGUAUGUGGACUAAUUAUGUCUGCUACUUCUUUAAAAGCGUCCCAGGGCUUUUCAGCAACAACAGAUCCAUUGAAUGUCCUGUCAUUCAGGUUACAGCCUCGUUGUUCCCUUAAGCCAUAAUACUUUUAAUAGCAGAGAUAUGCAUAUCUCUGAAACACUAUGCAGAAAUCUAUUAAAGUGAAUUAUAUUCGUUCCGAGUGGGGGGGAAAGAGGGCUGUGGGAAUAAAGAGCACUGAAAAUGUAAGUCCGUCAGCAGAAAAGAGUGGGAAACAUACGAUGCUGCCUGGAUAAACAGUAUAAAAUCCUUGUCAAGAUUCAUGAGAGUGGCACCCAGGGGAUCUAUUAUGCCUGAAGAGACCUUUCAUUUAGUCUGGUGACUGUCCAGAGAAAAGUUAAGAAUCUGUUCAAGUGGCUCAAGUAGAUACUAAAUUCAAAUGUUGGCAUUCAGUGCCCUACUUGAGAAGUUAAUUCAAACAAUGCUUACUUUAAACAAUUGCCACAUUAUUUCAAAUGGUUUCAAGCAAUAGUCUCCCUUUCAAUCAAGUAUCUCAGUCACACUAUUAGUCUAUUUUCUGAGUCUACUUCUGGGACUUCAUUAGCAACUAAUCAUAUAGAAAAAACACAAAAUGGCUGCAAAUCAUCAGAGGUGUCCCCACUACCCCAUCGCCCCAUGACCCAAUUCAGUUGUUGUAAAAUGUGUGACAGGUGAUUUGGAAACAAACAAAAAAAACCAAGCCCUGAACAACAUUUGAAUACUAUGCAUGUAUACUCCAAAGCACUGCAAGGCUCUUGAUUCUUGCAUUUUUUCACUCAGACACAUCAGGCAGCAUUCAACUAAAAACAAUGUGCGAAAAGAUUGACUUCAGUUAGUGUAACGGGCAUGCUCCCCUGUCACCUCCCUCCAUGUAUGCUGCAUGUAUUCAUGUCCCUAAAUCUGCUCUGGAAGUUUGUGGUGGGGGGAACGGGACAGAACAAUUUUGGGACAUGCCCUGGAGGUAGAGGAGAGGGUGGGAAGUCCUGUUGUAUAGUGGAAGUAAUCGCAUGCUCACAAAGCACUAUGUUGAAUACAAUCUAUCCUGUGUGUCCUUUUUUAUUUGGAUCCCUAUGUGCCAAGUUGUGGUGAAAACAGACGAGUCCGGCCCAUCUGAUCCUUCUGCUCACCUGUUCCUCCCAGCGUUAUGAAUGAAUGAGAGAUCUGCAUGACUUCCUAGAGUGGACAAUGCUCCGCCUUUCCCUGCCUGCGCACAAUGCCAAGAUGGUCAUAUGAAAGAGUGCACGUGGCGCAGUGUUUCUGGCUGUUAACCAGAGGGUUGGUGGUUCGAGCCCACCCAGGGAUGGCUGUGGGCAGCAUACCUGCAUUGCAUGAGCUUGGACUAGAUGACUCUUGGAGUCCCUUCCAACUCUACAAUUCUAUAGUUCUAUGUGACAAUAAUAGGGAUGCGGGUGGUACAGUGGGUUAAACCACAGAGCCUAGGACUUGCCGAUCAUAAGGUCGGCGGUUCAAAUCCCCACGACGGGGUGAGCUCCCAUUGCUCGGCCCAGCUCCUGUCCACCUAGCAGUUCGAAAGCAUGUCAAAGUGCGGACUUCCGGGGUGGCGCCUCCGGAAAAUGGCGGAAUUCCCUUCAAGUUGAAGGGAACCCGCUGCACGGAAGCUUGGGUCCUACCGCUACGGCGCAGCGGGGACCCUUAAAACCCACAGGCGGAUGAAGCCUGUGGACGUGGGACUCAGCGGGCACCGUGAGCGCUCUCUCCCUUGUGCCAGGAGCCCGGUAACGGGCUCCGGAGUGGGAGGUGCGUGGUGCUGUGAGUCGACUGCUUCUUUCGUGCAGCAAAGCCGCACUGCCGUUUCCGGAGAGCGCUGCCCUUUUCCUGGGACAAUUUGGCAUCUAAAACAUCUAUCCGUGAGUACCUGAUCUUGGAAGAGCUGAAUUACUUUUAAGACUGGUGAAUAAAUAAAUAAAUUGGACUUGAAAUUGAAUUUAAUUGGGACUUGGAAUGAGAAGGUCUAAGCAGGAAGUCAACCUUCCGUUCUUUUGUUACGUGAAGAAAGCAAAGACAAAAUAUACUAAAGCUUGAAAAUUAAAUUCUGAGAGAACUAGAAUUCAACACCUAAGAUUUCUGAACCCCCCCUUUGACUGCAGGAGAAGAAGGGGUUGUUUUGGACUUUAUAACCCUGCGGAAGUGAGUUUAAAACAAAGUAAUUUUCCACCGCCCUGAACCAGGAGCGGGCUGUCAGAACUGACGCUGUGAAGCUUGUCCAGCUCGACAGAUCGUUAAAAGACGGGUAACAUUGUGACUCUACUGUUGCCUCUUGAAUUUUGAAGGGGGAACUUUGGAUAAAGUGUAUCUGGAAAAGAAAGACUGUUGCUGAUGAUUUUCUCCGUUA
rnacentral:lncRNA from 1 species